rnacentral:rRNA from 1 species
UAACUAGCUGUCCGGGUACUUGGUACUUGGGUGGCGCAGCUAACGCAUUAAGUUAUCCGCCUGGGGAGUACGGUCGCAAGAUUAAAACUCAAAGGAAUUGACGGGGGCCUGCACAAGCGGUGGAGCAUGUGGUUUAAUUCGAAGCAACGCGCAGAACCUUACCAGCGUUUGACAUGCCGGUCGCGGAUUUGGGAGACCAUUUCCUUCAGUUCGGCUGGACCGUGCACAGGUGCUGCAUGGCUGUCGUCAG